rnacentral:lncRNA from 1 species
CCUCUCCUUCUCCUGUACCUUUUUCUUCAGCUGCCGUUGGGCUUGUCUGAUCUUCCUCUUCUUAAGUUUCUCAUCCUCAACGGAGGUGUCCACAAUCGCUCUCUUCUUGAUCUGAGAUGCAGCCUGAGCCAUGGUGCUGGGGAGCUGCGAUGGAGCGGAUAUCCUUAUAGAGCAGGAUCGCAGGAGGAAGUCCUACCAGGUCUGGAAACAGCUCCUCUCUGUAGUAUAGUAUCCUACCAGGUCUGGGAACAGCUCCUCUCUGCAGUAUAGUAUCCUACCAGGUCUGGAAACAGCUCCUCUCUGUAGUAUAGUAUCCUACCAGGUCUGGGAACAGCUCCUCUCUGUAGUUUAGUAUCCUACCAGGUCUGGGAACAGCUCCUCUGUAGUAUAGUAUCCUACCAGGUCUGGAAACAGCUCCUCUCUGUAGUAUAGUAUCCUACCAGGUCUGGGAACAGCUCCUCUCUGUAGUAUAGUAUCCUACCAGGUCUGGGAACAGCUCCUCUCUGUAGUAUAGUAUCCUACCAGGUCUGGAAACAGCUCCUCUCUGUAGUAUAGUAUCCUACCAGGUCUGGGAACAGCUCCUCUCUGUAGUAUAGUAUCCUACCAGGUCUGGGAACAGCUCCUCUCUGUAGUAUAGUAUCCUACCAGGUCUGGGAACAGCUCCUCUGUAGUAUAGUAUCCUAGCAGGUCUGGGAACAGCUCCUCUCUGUAGUAUAGUAUCCUACCAGGUCU